AACGAACGCUGGCGGCAGGCUUAACACAUGCAAGUCGAACGCCCCGCAAGGGGAGUGGCAGACGGGUGAGUAACGCGUGGGAAUCUACCCAGAUCUUCGGAACAACUGAGGGAAACUUCAGCUAAUACCGGAUACGCCCUACGGGGGAAAGAUUUAUCGGAUCUGGAUGAGCCCGCGUUGGAUUAGCUAGUUGGUGGGGU
rnacentral:rRNA from 1 species